AAUCCAUAGGUUAAUGAGGCGAACCGGGGGAACUGAAACAUCUAAGUACCCCGAGGAAAAGAAAUCAACCGAGAUUCCCCCAGUAGCGGCGAGCGAACGGGGAGGAGCCCAGAGCCUGAAUCAGCAUGUGUGUUAGUGGAAGCGUCUGGAAAGGCGCGCGAUACAGGGUGACAGCCCCGUACACAAAAGCGCAUGUGCUGUGAGCUCGAUGAGUAGGGCGGGACACGUGGUAUCCUGUCUGAAUAUGGGGGGACCAUCCUCCAAGGCUAAAUACUCCUGACUGACCGAUAGUGAACCAGUACCGUGAGGGAAAGGCGAAAAGAACCCCGGCGAGGGGAGUGAAAAAGAACCUGAAACCGUGUACGUACAAGCAGUGGGAGCACCCUUUGGGUGUGACUGCGUACCUUUUGUAUAAUGGGUCAGCGACUUAUAUUCUGUAGCAAGGUUAACCGAAUAGGGGAGCCGGAGGGAAACCGAGUCUUAACCGGGCGUUAAGUUGCAGGGUAUAGACCCGAAACCCGGUGAUCUAGCCAUGGGCAGGUUGAAGGUUGGGUAACACUAACUGGAGGACCGAACCGACUAAUGUUGAAAAAUUAGCGGAUGACCUGUGGCUGGGGGUGAAAGGCCAAUCAAACCGGGAGAUAGCUGGUUCUCCCCGAAAGCUAUUUAGGUAGCGCCUCGUGAAUUCAUCUCCGGGGGUAGAGCACUGUUUCGGCUAGGGGGCCAUCCCGGCUUACCAACCCGAUGCAAACUGCGAAUACCGGAGAAUGUUAUCACGGGAGACACACGGCGGGUGCUAACGUCCGUCGUGAAGAGGGAAACAACCCAGACCGCCAGCUAAGGUCCCAAAGUCAUGGUUAAGUGGGAAACGAUGUGGGAAGGCCCAGACAGCCAGGAUGUUGGCUUAGAAGCAGCCAUCAUUUAAAGAAAGCGUAAUAGCUCACUGGUCGAGUCGGCCUGCGCGGAAGAUGUAACGGGGCUAAACCAUGCACCGAAGCUGCGGCAGCGACACUGUGUGUUGUUGGGUAGGGGAGCGUUCUGUAAGCCUGUGAAGGUGUGUCGUGAGGCAUGCUGGAGGUAUCA
rnacentral:rRNA from 1 species